UUUUUUACAAAACACAUCAGUCAAAAUAGCCCUCACUGAUAAGUGAGAACACUAAACUCUCGAACCCUCUUCAUCACUCUUUAAGAACCCUAAACCCUAAGAACCCUAUCUCGUAGCCCUCUCUCAGCUUGCAACCCUCUUUCAGCUCAUAGACCUCCUCAUCAUUGAGAACCCAUCUUCAUCUCUCAGCUCGUAACCAUCUAUCCCUCUCUCGCAACCCUCGUUAACUUCAAUCGGUGUUGCCUCUGUCAGCGCACCCUCCAUCGGUGCGCCUUCCGUCGGCGCUCACUAUCUCUCGCACGAACCCUACCUUUGUCGACGUUGAUUCUCUCUUGCUCCUCCCUCAGUUGUCGUUGCCUCUCCCUCAAUCAUCGCUCCUUCCUCAAUCGAUGCUUAACCCUCAUCAUAACAUAAGAAGAGAUAUGAGAUACAAUGAUCUUAUAGGGUCACUUCCACCUUCAUAUAACUCACUGCCACAUUUAAAGUCGAUAUGUGAUAUUCUCAUUGAAUAGCAUAGACGAUUUCUCGAUAAAAUCUACUUCAAUUCAAGCAUUCACUUUGGAAUAUAUAGAGGUAGCCACCGAAAAGUAUAAAAUUUUGAUAGGUGAAGGAGGCUUUGGUUCUGUCUACCAUGACACCCUAGAAAUUGGUCAUGUUGUGGCUGUGAAGGCACUCGAGAAUUUGAUAAUGAGGUGCACAACUUUUGUUUCAAAUUUAAUUGCUAUAUCAAAGUUCCAAUAGCAUUGAUUCAAUGAUGUAUAAUAAAGUGACAGUGAUGAAAUUUGGCUACUAGCCAAUGAUUUCUAUCCAAAAUAAAAUUUGGCUACACCCAAUGAAACAAUGGAAAAAAUUGAAGCUGCUGCAACAAAUAUGAGGUUUUUCCCGUUGAGUUGUUAUUGAGAUUGUGAAUGUUUUGAAGUCAGUCUCUGCUGUAUGACAAUGAUGUAAUCAAAUUUUCUUUAUGAAUUAAUUAUAGAAAUUCUUUAAAACACAUGGCUUAUGAUUGCAAGGACCAUAGUUAUAUUUAAGCUUUUUGAGAAUAAUGAAUCAUUUUCUUUAUAUUUGAAGUCCACAUAUGUUUGUGUGUGUUUAAAGUUCACAUGUAUUUACAUGCAUAUGUAUAGAAGUCUCUGUCAUUUUGUUUUUGGUAUCUGUGUUAGUGUUGUGCUAGAUGGAUGGUAACCGAUAGCCCUGUAAUUAUGAGUUUCCACCCAUUAAAGUCCAAAAUGUUUAAGAAACAGUAGCUUGUUUGGAAUGCUAUGGAAUGGAGAUGGUUAGAGAUGAUGAGAAAGCCAUAAAAGGGUUGGUCAGAAACAGUCUCUGUGUGAAACUGUUGAUGAUUAUUGCCCAUCUUUUUCAAUCAUAAUCAUGUAUGAGGAUUUUUUCUAUUUGAUAAUAAUAAAGCCACGCUUUUAAAGCGUCGCAAUAGA